GGUAUAGCUCAGUGGUAGAGUGUGUGCUUAGCAUGCAUGAGGUCCUGGGUUCAAUGCCUAGGACUACCA
rnacentral:tRNA from 1 species